rnacentral:lncRNA from 1 species
UGAGCAUGUUUUGCAAGUAGGAUGCGAUGGCAUCCAGGACUAUCGUCAUUUCCGCUUCCUUUUGCUAUAACAAAGAUGAACCAACACAUCAUCUCCAGCACUCAUUGUAGCUAAUUAAGAUUAUCAGCAAAAAGGAAAGGGAAGGGGUGCACUAGAAUACUAACAUGAGUACAUGAUGAACGAGUUAUAAGCAUGAGAAACAACAGAAAUAGGCAAACACAAGGCGCUUAGAUCGAUAGAUGCAAGCAAAGGCAGCUAAACAGAGGAAAUAUAAUAUUACCUUCAAGAUGGAUGGAUGUUGGGUCCUGCUGCUCGUACCAGUACAAGUAAAGGUCUAAAACGUACAGAGCACUGUGUGUAUACAAACGAAAGGGAAAUCAGCUCUCCAAAGGCACAAAUGUAGGCAGAUAAUCCAGAGCCUGGUAAGAGAUUUACUUGGAUCUGGGAGCAUGAGCACAGAGUAAAUCAAAAAGCCCUUGCUUGCGGUGAUUUCUCUAAACAAAAGCGCACCACUCACCGAUUGCUCUAAACAAAAGCACACCACUCACCGCAUGCAGCAUGUGACCAUGGCGCAAUAGCUGCUCCUCGUGAUAGUCCGCUUGAGCAAACGCGUCCCUCUCGCACCCUAGACCAGAACGAUGGGCAGAAAAAUAUCAAUGGAUGAUGCAGAAUAUGGCUUGUUAAUAGAG